rnacentral:misc_RNA from 1 species
CAAUUCAGUUUGAGAAGGUUUGUUGCUUGUUCCUUAAGUUGACUAUUACAAUUACUUUUCAUAUAUAGUAGAAGCUUUAAGCUGCAUAUUCAUUAGUUAAGCCAUUGGCUUUUGAAUGUCAGUAUCAAAUAGAUUUCUGCUUGAUUAGGUUCAUUGUAUUUAUGGUUGAACUUGGGUCAUUUUGUUAGUUAUCUGUUGUUUCAUGGACGUUUUCAUAUUCCUGACAAGAAAGACAUGACGCCUUCCUUACUAAUGUGUUUAGUCUUUAAUGGUUUUAGGUACAAUCAGCUGGGUAUAUUAGAGUUUUGGUAAUAACAGUUAAUACACAUUCUUUAGGGUGAGAUAGUUCUCUUUCCAUAUUUAAAGAAUAUUACUAGACUAGCAAAGCAAGUUUAUGUGUGGUGACAAUGCCUGACUUUUUCCCGAAAGUGGAUCUUAAACUGGCAUUGCAAAAUUUUUUAGUAUUAUUUGUUGUGCUUAGUGUUCUUGAU